GAAGAAUCGCGUUAGUCUCAAGUGAGACUGUAAGAGCUACACGACGUUUUCGCAUCAAGGAUUAUUCUUAGCAGUGACAAUCUCGUUAGCAAAUAUCGCACUUGCCGGCGUCCUCGUUCAACCCGGCUAUGAACAUCAAUACGAUAGCAAUCCACGCUAUUUGCAAGAUCAGUCUGCUCCGCAGUACACAGUCUCCGACUGAACAGUAUCGCGCGGAACAAUUACCGGACCAGGAAUCGACGCGAUAUUUUUCGGGAGUUAAGACGAUAAGUGGGUGGAGAACCGUCAGAUCAAGAAUGACUAUAUAACAAAUCCAUGUUCAUUCGGUUUUUAUAUGCACCCUGGACGUACAUACAACAUUCCCAACACAAUGCAAAGUAUGAUUCACCAGUUUUAUACAAAUCUUAAGUCUUCAACCGCACAAGACGAGAUCAAGUAAUAGUAUCCUCAUAUUAUCAUGAGCAUUUACCAAAGAUUGAGGAUGGCCGACAUACACCGAGGGCCGUACAUAUCCAUGACCUGCUCCUAUUCUUGCGAAAUGCACAUGGUGUGACCUCGGUAAAUAAUAGUGGUACGGUGGACGAUGUGGAUGCUUAACACAUGUGAACGACCAUCGGCUUGGUUCGAUUCAUAUAGGGAUACACCGCCUAAACUCCCGAAAGAUAUCGCAUCGAUUCCUGGCUCGGUAAUUGUUCCGCGCGAUAUUGUUCAGUUGGAGAUUGUAUCCAGUGCUGCGGAACAGACUGAUCUUUCAAAUAGCGUGGAUUACUAUCAUAUUGAUGUUGGUAGCCUGCAGAUUGAACUAGGCUAUCCUCAAUACGAUAGUAAUCCACGCAAGAACGUCGGCAAGUGCGAUACUUGCUAACGAGAUUGUCACUGCUAAGAACUGAAAAAGAAUGAUAACGAGAAAUUAUCGGCAACCAAUGAUUCGCAAAUCGAGGCCAAUGCAGGGGGAAUAGAAAACUACUUAUUUCAGCUCAAGACGAACAUCGAAAUGUUCAACGCAAUAACUUCAACCGAUCCAAACAAAUUGAAUCUAAACUAUAACUUAAAAUUGUAUAUUUGCGAUAUGUUGGUCUAGUAAUAUUAGUAAUAGUACAAUAAAUGUAAAUUGAAUAAUAAUAAGUGUAUAAUAAGUUUAACGUCUUAUAAGUUAGCGGAACAAAGUGAUCAAAAUCGGAUUUUUAUACGGCAGAUUUAUUAUCAUAGGUUGGCAGAAAAGUUAUUUGCUAGCAUGAUUUUCUUACUAAAUUAUUUUACAAUAUACUAUUGAGAAAUCUGAUCUUCUUGCUUAUUUUAAAACGUUAGAAAUAUUAACUUUUAUAUAGCGUUGCUUGUUAGGCGAGCGCCGACGUAGCGCUAUUCUUUUGUUAGUCACUCGCGUGAUAAGUUCGUGAAGUAACGGAUUCUUCUACAUUGUGCUUCAUCUGUCUCGGCAAGACAGUGAAGAAGUUAUUUUACUCGUGAACGGUAUUGGAUUAUUGCGUUCUUACAUAUAUAUCGGCUUCUAAUAAGAUACAUUUGAUCUAUGCCGAAUAUAUAUCGUUAAGUGUGUCGAGACUAGAUAGAUCAAAUAAUUCAGACCAGAUAAGAUCUGUGUGAGUUCAUAAACCAAGCCUUUCUUCUCUUUAACACUUUCUUUGACUGUGUGAUA